CUCAGGCAAGCGGGCCUUUUUUAGGCAGACAGGCCUUUUUUAGGCAUUUUAAGGGGAAUUGAAAGGAUUUCCCUCAUCGUCAGCAGUUGGUCGCUCGUGUUACACAACAGAACGGAAGCGAGUAACUCAGGUUGCUAAACUAUGACAGGAAAUAAGUUCAAAGUAUACGAUGAUGCAGGAAUGAUGAUUAGUAGGGCCUGUUUGUUACACCACAGCUCGCGAGGGCUUCCUGUGAAGCUGAACAGCCUCAGCGUGGCCUUUAUUCGUGUCCAGGUGCAGCAUGAUCCAGCACCAUGUGGGCUAUGCUGCAAGUGUGACCCCAAGCCUUUAGACACCUCCAGUAAAUUAGUUCUGCCUUUCAUACAGAGUUCCAGGGAGUCCAUAAAUGCUGUUGAAAAGCAUCAGACCGAAGAACUCAAGCCUACUUUACUUAAAAAAAGUGAUUAUCACUGAGAAUUACCUAAAAGAUCCAGUGAGCAUAUUCUCAUCCGUCCAUAUUUGUGCUUUAUACCUGAACCUACAUGCUACCCCGAAGGGCCUGCUGGCAGUAACUACGAAACCCAGAAACGUGGUCAGGAUUUUCAGCAUAUUUUCUGAACAGAGAGUGAAUGUUGCUUCUUAACCAGUCCAUCACUAUGACCUUGCAGUAACCCCCCAGCCUUACUUAGCCCAGAAACCGUCACAGAGCACGAAAAAUGUGCUGUGAAAAAUGUGAAUUUAAUAUUAGGAAGUUAGAAUGGAGGAAGCCUGCAGCAUCUGCCCCAUCAGCAUAAGAGUGCUCAUACUGCGUGACGUGCAGUCCAACUUCUGGCAUAUGUAUUUUGCAAGCAAAUUGUGAGCGCCAUCAGAUGACUCUUAAUAGCAAAUUGCAAAUCAGUCCCAAAACUAUUUGUCAAACUCAUUUUUUUCCAUGGUAUUAAAAAAGCACUCAAUUUUGAAAUGUCUGUACGUUUACAUAAUCUUUGUGAGACUGCUUCAGAAUCAGUUGUUAGCGAGUUUGAUAGCACAUCCAUAAAAGGAAGCUUUUUGCAAUUCAUAAUUUUUAUUUUAAUAUUAGAACUCCUAAAAAUUAAAAGCUGUAACUAAGAACACAAGUCACAUUUAUUUUGAUGUAAUGUAACGUCAGAAAUAACUUUUAGCCAGUAAAAGCUAGAAUCCACAACCUUUAAGAAUGAGUCAGUAUAUACACAGAGCAAAUUAGGGCAUGAUGAAAAUGGAAGAUUACACGCUGCAUAAGACCACUGUAGUAUCUAAAAGUUUCUGUUUGUAUCAGGUGUUGCUAGUGAUACCUUGUCAUCGUGGAACAAAAACUAUUACAGAUGGCUUUGGACUUCUGAUAACCUAGGAAAAAGUUCAUUUAAAGUUUGAUGUGUAAGGGAAGUAAUUUCCUGUUCAUAUGCUGGGAAUUAUAUUAAAAAACUGGGCCUUGCUAAUUAGCAGGGUAUUGCUGAGUACUAUCAUGGUGUUUUUCUUUAGGAAGAGUAUGUUGUGUAGAACGUAGAUUUCAAUUUCUGCUGCAGUUGGGUAUAAGAGAGCUCUGUGACUUCUUCCAUGCAUGAGAUGUUGCUGAUCUGGCAAUUUAGCUGUAUGGAUCUGGUUGCAGACUUGUGACAUAAUUGCAGUGCUUUAGGACAGAAGAAUUUGAAAUACCUGUAUUGGGAUUGUUUUUAUUUAUUAAGAGGGUUUUUUUAGCACAAUAAAUCUCAGAUGUGUAAACAGGCUUCACAACACCAGUUGUGACCAAUGUUUUCUAGUCAGUACCUAAAAUUAGGGGGACACGGUCAUGGUAUUACUAAAUGCAGAUAAAAAAGGAAAAGUGAAACAUAAUAGAAUAGUUACAAGUAUUAAAAAGAGAAUAAGAUAAAUCACAAUAAAUUUGGAAAAAUAAAAAACUAACUAGGUAUGUUAUUACCAAGAAAAGUAGGUACACUGUUACAAAAAGGAGCAGAAAGGUUAAAUGAAGACUGCUAAAAGUUUUUAUUUACAACUUUACAGUGGAGAUAAAGAACUCAAGCAAAAAAAAAAUCAAGGAAAAAAGGAGACAAGAGACAUUAUUUGUAGCUUUGUGUUUAUCAAUGUACAAGAAUCAAAACAGUCACCAGGAGAAUCCUGGGUGUAUCAGGGAGGUGAUCAUAUCCAUAGUGUGUGGAAGCUCUGUUAGGUGGUGGUCUUGCUGAAUCAGCACUGGCCUGGUAUCCCCACAGAGACUGAGCUCUAUGCCCAAUUAGAAGAGCCAUUGUUUCCUCUUUUUGAGAUUACUCACCAGAUGUACUGUAUCAGUAUGUGAUCUGAAUAAACUAACCAUGACCAGUUCAUUAUUAAAGAGCCUUGCCUCUUCAAGCCCUCACCACCUCUUUCUAGGCUGCUAGUGAUAAACUGCAGGCCCUGUGAUGAAUUCCCCAUCUAUUUGCUGAAAAGGUAUGUUGUAGCUUGAGCCACGUAGAUCCAGAGAAAGCAACACUGGCCUAUACGUAAUGAGAAUAACCGUCAGAUGCAAAAAUGGCAGCUGUUUCAGAACUGAGAUGCAGCCCUUGCCAUAAGUAGCAGCAGAGUUCAGGAGAGGAAUGAUGCCUACCCGAUUCUGAUGAAACCUCAGGGAAGGUUUUGAAAGAUCAAGUAAGACGCAAAUUGGAAAGAACUCUAACACCUCUCCUGUCAUUCCACCUGUAAGCUCAGUGUUGCAUUUGACCACGUAAUUAGAUCUCGUUGGUUUAAAUCUUUGAGUUGUACAAAUUCAGAAGGAAGUGCACAACCUAACACAACUUGCACCAAGUGGAAAUGUCUUUUCUGUCUGUACACUCCUUUGAAACUGCUGAGUUACAGUACAUUGUUUCUGGGUUUAGUAGUCCCUUCUACCAGUGACCCUGCAUUUUUUGAAAGAAGCAUAUUAUUUAACAAUUGCUGGUAUGUGGUCAAGAUCAGUUUUCACAUCCGUGUUACUCUGUUCCUCUGUAAAGUGGUGUUUUUGUCAUACUGUAGCCUAGAAUGCAACUGGACAAGAUGCGCAGGAAUGCAGGCUGGUGUGGUGUACUCUGCACCACUGGGAAAACUGGGGCUCAGGUUGUUUUAGUUUGAAAGCCUGAGAUUUAAGAUGAGGUUGAGUAAUCAUUAGGGAUUCAGUUUGAAAAAACACAGCCUUUACUGAAGGGGCAACAAGCAGAAUAUCUAAAUUGCAUGCCUGAAAAAGCAACUAUGACACACACAAAAAAAACAAUGAAUCAGAGGAGGUAUCCUCUGAAUGUGAGGUACCUUUGAAUUCAAUCACCUGGGUAAAAAUUGCAGUAGAAUCUGUAGGACCAAGUUUCGCUUUUUAAACCAAGCAUUUAUGUGGUACUCCGGAGGAAAAAAAAAAAAAAAAAAAAAAAAAAAGGCAAAAUACUGACAAGGUUCUGACUCACUCAUUAAACUUCCGAGAUCCAACUUCAUCCAGAAUUUUGGCUUUCCUCUUCUAAAAAAGAAAUGUUCUCUGAAGUCUUCGCAACCCAGAAGAAAGAUUUAGCUACUAUUCCUAGACAUUGCCCCGAAUUUCUGUCACAUAUGGCUCCAUUUGCUGAAGAACAUUGGGAGAUCUUUACCUAAGGCAGCAGGAAGGACUGGCAGGUUGACUUGAGAGGUUUCUUGAGUCAGCAUGUGGUAGUUGGAGGUAGUUGCGUGACUGAGUUCAACCCUUCAGAUACCAACAGAGAAUUGAUUCCUUGCAUGGUGUAAAAUCAGCAAGGAAGCAGCAAUGGUCAGAGAAAGGUGUUGGCUGGGAUUGUAUCAUCAGCCCCCAGAAAGCACCUCCCUAUCCCGGGAUGAGUGGCUACAAGAACACAAAUUUUGCAAGGCCGGAGCAGGCUUGAGCAGUAGGUGUGGUUUGACCAGAAGAAGCUGAGCCAACCUAACAGCUCACUGACCUCGCCAUAAUUUAAUCAAUUUGCAGAUAGGCCACAAAGUCAACCCUGCAAAAAUACUGCUUCCCAAAUUGCAAGCUAUAUUGAGUCAAACUACAGUGGACAGGGCUCCAUGGGUGGGAGCAAAUGACUAGAGGUAGGACUCUCUUCAGCAGCAAAAAGCAGAUGAGUUCAGGGUGUCAAGCUUGCCAGACUGCUCAGGAACUUGCUUUUGGCUACGUUUAUGUGAAGUGUCUGUCAGCCCAGGAUUUCUAGCCUCUAGAGGAGCACAAGCAGCACUCAAGAGCACUUGAAAAGCCCUAUGGUUCUGUAUGGCUGCCAUGAAUAUCAAAGACUGUGUAGACCACUGUGCAAGUGUGAUAGUAUCCAGCUGUAACCAUAUAAAGGACAAAUAAUAUUCAUUAAAGAUGGAACUGGAUUUUAGACAAGCAAUUUUUCUGUUUUAAAUUGUGAAGACAAGUCUAAAAAUACUAGUUUCUGCCUGAAUGUCUCCAUUAAGCAACUCCGUUUAAAAAAGGUCAAAGAAAUCUCCAGUAUGUGGGUCCAGCAGAGGACACAUUUGAUUCUGCUGAUCUGCUCACAUCCAGUGGGAGCAGUUCAUGGGACAAAGAAAGGCCUAGUCAACUAGUGAACAGUUCAGUUCACAGCAGUAACACACCAGGCCCAGACUCGUCCUGCACUGGACUGGAGGUCUGAGACAUACAGCCUAGCCACAGAAGAGGAAGAACCUGUGAAUAAGUAGCUUAACCAACCAGUCCACACACAAAUCUAAAGGCCGUGACUCUUCACCAACACUGAUGACAGAUCUGCAAAGAAUGGGGCCAACAGAAAGUCUGUCCAAGCUCUACACAUGCCACUGUAUGAGGACAGUCAUCAAGAGCAUUGUUUUUAGCCUAGUCAUUUUAUUUUCAAAUUUUUUUAAGCAAUUAGGACAAAAAAAGUCAUGUUGUCUUCUAGUCAGAAAUUCUUCCUCCUUCAUUAUAGCUGUAACUCACUGGGUGAUACUAUUUUUGUAUAUUCUCCCACUUGUCAAAUUCCAUGAGGAUAUCUUAUAAUAUUUGACUGGUAAACAGGAUCUGUCCUUAAUAAGAUGCUAGCGAAAACUGAUUCUGCUGUUUUUAAUUUCUAGUGUUAAACUGUGUGACUAAGACAGGAGAAGAAUUUCAAUGUGCUAUGCAGGUGGUGGUGUUUUAUUUCCAUUAAUUGUAUUGUCUUGUUUUUAUUUGUAUGUAUCUAUAAAUAAAGAGUAUAUUAGUUAUAUCUACCCUGUGAAAUUUGGGUGGUUUUUAUUCAAUUGGCAACUAAAGUAAGUACAUUUUUAACAAAACUUGUUGCUUUCAAAGAGGAAACAAAUUUAUCUGAUCUCUCUCCCAUUUGGAGAGAGGUGGCAGGAAAAAGCAGAUAGGCACACAGAGCUGAAAACUUGUCGUUUAGCAGGUAAUGUCACUGGAGAGAGGAGAGAACUCUCUUUUACUUCACCUCACUUAAGUGAGAAAUAUGUAUCUCAUUUUUCAAGCUUCCUAAAACUUACUACACUUGGGCCCUGCCAUUAUCCUGUUUGUUUCUGCAUAAUUCCUAUCCUCCAAGGUCAUCGCGACAGACAUAACUGAAUUAAAUAAAUAAUUUAAAUAAAUAAAUAAAUACAUAGGAUCCUUUAGGUAAGCUUAGAAAAGCUGUUCAGAGGAAAAUUCCGUAACCAUGACUUGCAGAAUUGGUAAUACGGUGUCUAAGGAUUUUUCUCCAUAGCCUGUCACAAGGUUGGAACAGAAAAUAAAUAAGUAGAUACACAGAUAAAAAGAAAAAAGAAAGAUAUUUCACCUGAAAGAAAGAAAAAAAAAAAGUAUUAUGUACUUCUUGUCUAGCAUAAUUCUGUCUGUCUUCCAAUUUGGCAUUUUACUUUUAAUAAUACUGAUAGCAGAAAAUUAGGCCAUUGUGGAAGCGAAAGAGACUGGCAAAUUAUAUAUAUGCACAUAUGUUUACUCAAAAUUUGAAAACUUAAUAGCAGGAAUUAUGUGCUCUGAAAGGAAAUAUUUUUAGAAGGAUGAAGUGACAUUUUUAGGAAUCUCAAUCUGAAUUCUAGUUGCCAGAGCAAGAUCAGGCAGGACUCUGUGGCUCCCCCUAGGAGAAAGAAGCUUGGGGCUACGGUCCCAACCACAUCCCGGCUCGCGCUGGCAAGCGGCAGGUCUCGAGGCUGGAGGCUGGAGCCCCUGCUCCAGCAGCCUCAAGGCCAGAGGGUUAAGGUGGUCUGAACACUGAGGGAUUGAGCGCAAAUUUUGUACGCAAAGGGGAUUGAUAGACCUGGUAACAGCUCUAAAUGCUUUCAUAGUUUUCAGUGAGGGAGGGUGUUUUUUUUGGUUUCUUAAAAAACAACAACAAAACAAUAAAAACAACAAAGCUGAAUUAGAUCUUUGAAAGAAAAGUUGCGGGCAGCUACUUCCAGAAGAGGACUCGGCCAUUCUGACAGAAAAACCUUCUCCAGGAAGGGUCUAGGGCAGGAAUGACCUGAACACCCAGCAGUUCCCAGCAUUUUGUUUUAGCUGGCCCUGGGAGACUGCAUGCAGCCCGUGCCAUCACCAGACUGCUUGGCUUGGAUGCUCCCCAGGGUGCCUGAUCUGCUCUCACUCAUCUGCGAGGAACCCCCAAGGCUUAGCUUUCUUUCUGGCCUGUCCGAAGUGGCAUAUAAAACCUCUGUGGUUUUUGCUACAAGCAUAAUUUCAGUAAAUGUAGGCAUAAGCAUCAAGAGUAAUGGAACAAAUCAGGUUUGUGCCUUUAACUUAAUAACUUCUAAAGAGGAGGUGGAAAGUUUCAAGGUUCACUGCAGGUUUUUCUGUUUUUACACUGCAGAAAAGUCAAUAUUUAAAAUUUGGACAAGACAAUGGUAACAGUUAUGUUCACUUUUUAUCCCCUGCAAUACCACAGCCAAGGAGAAUUACAUCGCAAAUACCAAGGAAGAGAAGAUACCUGGGUGAGAUUUAAAAGUCCAAUUCUAGUCAUAGAAGAAACUUUUCAGGAAAAAAAUUUAUCCAAGAAACACCGUAGUAAAAGAAUCGUCAAUAUUUCAGUGUAAGUCUGGAAGAGACACAUUUGAGAUUUAAAAGUAAUAAUUAACACACUGAUGGUGCUGACAUAAAACAUUGUAUAUAUUUUUGACUGCUAAUUAACCUCCAGCUUCUAUAGACAUCUUAAAAAAAAAUGCACAUCUUCACUGCCUUUUCUACAGCUCACUAACAAUCACAUACUCCACACAACUUCUCAGACCGUGCUGCAAAUCACUCUUGGUCCUCUUGACCCAUUUUUGUUUCAGAAUUACCACACAGCCUUCCCAAUCUAAUGACACCCGCUAACGUCUGUGCUUUGCCGCAGGUGUCCUUCUUAUUUCUAAAAAUUAAUUAACAAAAGUUAAUUAUUUUUAUUGUUUCUCUCCCGUGUGUCAAUUAAUAUUUGAAUUAUUGAAGUGGAUCAUUGCUAUUAGUUUGUUUUCACAAAGUUGGAAAAUACAGAAACUCCACUAUCAUCUUAAUUACUUACAAGUGAAGGGUAAAAUGCCUUUCUUUCCAUGGCAAAACUCCAAAAGAUUUAACAGAGACAGGAUUGCACUGCAAGCCUAAGUUCUCUGUGCAUUCCUUCAGUCUCAGCAGGACCACUCAAGCACUGAAGGCAAAGACUGCGUGCCUUGCAUAAGCAUCAGCGUGCGAUUCCAGGACGAGAAUUCCAGUACAUCUUUUACUUUGCUACAGUAGGGCCAGAUUUUCAGCAAUGCACACCAUUUAAACAGAGAGGUAAUUGAAUAUUUUAUCUGCCGCCAAAAAACAACAAACCACCUUCCUGCUUUUCUUCUCUCAAAGAAAAAAAAAAUACAGCACUUUUUUUUCUUUUUCUCCUAGCCUGGAUUCCUACAGAAAUUAAAAGUUUUUUGGAGAUUAUUAUCUCUUCAUAGCUUUAAUAAAUCUCUGUGUGUGCGCCUGCAUGCACACAUACGUGCGUGUACAUACUUGCACGUUAUGCAAGAGAAAGAGGGGGAACAAGAACAAACAGUAGCCAAUUUUAACCACAUCUGACAGAGCAAUAAAAGGCUCUAAAAUGGUACAUUCUUACACAUUUCGUGAAAACAGGCUGCUAAGUAAAGGAGACAAGACCCACUGCAGCUUGAGUUAAACCCUUAUUAAACACCAGGAAAGCUGCAAAGAUGAAAGAUGUAAUGAAUACCCACCCACAGGAAAAGCUGCAGUCGGAGCCCCUAGCCUGCUAGACCUAGGAGAAUCCAGGUAAGAGUUCACCCAAGGGAAGCCAAGCCCCGUCAGAUGCGUAGCUCACAGGACUACUGGUUUAUGUUGGAUUUCUAAUGGCUGUCCAGCUCUGAAGAUGACAUAACACGUUUCUGCUUAAACUUUGGGAAAGAAUAUAUCUUUUUUCUUUCAUACUGAUUCCUCAAAUCUGAUUAAAUGAAACACAAGGCAAAAGGACCAGAAUUUCUCUUUUAGGAUGUCAUGGGAUGUUCUCACCAGAGCCUCAGUGACCUGCAUGCAGCACGCUAGACAAAGACAAAACAUCUUCAGUUUCUUGGACCCUGGAGACUAGACAAAAGCUCCAAGCCCUGGCAUCCAGGACUUUGGUCUGAAGCCAGCAAGAGCCAAUGCUGUUAAAACUCCUUUAUCCCACAUUUUAACCUGUCUCAUCACCGAUGUCCCAGUGUCUACCCACUCUCAAAAGAGAUGUGGAUGCCUGCUACUUAAGCGACACGCAGGGACUUACUUUUGCAUUCCCAGAGUCCAGGGCUGACCGCAGUGAUGAGUCAGGUGGCAACUCCACUCAGGACUGUGUCAGCUAUCUGAAAUCUCCUCUCACUUAGAUGCAAAGGGAAAACUGAAAGCAAAAGAGGUUCCAAACUGUACUGCAUAACGUACCAAUGAACACAUUGUCUUCCAGAUGAUGCUUACUAACUGCAGUGUUUGUGUCUUGGUCACAUUUCCUCCCCAUCCAUAGCUGGAGCACGUUUGACAAAGCUUGUUUACUUUAUUCCAGAGUUGUGUGUUUAUCACCUAUCAGUCGUACAUCCCGGGGCAAAUUAUUUUACUCCAACAUUCACGAUCCCUUCUGGAUGACUGCCUUCCUUUUUAUGUUCUAGUCACAGUAACUCAUCUUUCAUCUCUAACUCUCUUCUGCACUGCACACUUCAGUCCCUCCUUUGCUAGACACGUUCACAUCUCUAAAAAUAUCAUCCAGGAACUUUUUAUUCUUCUUAAUUUUGUGUAGCAAGGAAACCUGGCUCUCAAGAUCAGCAAUCUUGCUUGAAGGUGCUCAAGAAAUCAAUGUGCAUAGACUCCCUUGGAUGCCUGUAGCCAUAUCUAGCAGGGCUCUGAUUCAGUCCUUCAUACCCCACACAAAGGAAGGAGAGAGAAGGAAAGAAUUCAGCAGCCAAAUCCUGCUAUUUCCUUCUUCCCAAAAAGGUUAACUCCAAGAAAAACAGAAGUUCCAGGUUUGCCCAUUCUCAUCACAGGCUGACAAAGGGAUUUGCGUGGCAUUUGUAUUAUUACUGCUGCUUCACGUGUGUGAGGUUAGCCCAAGAUAUUUUUAAUUAUUUUUUGUAACCUUUUGUUGCUAAGAGAGUUAUAAUGACCUUAAUAAGAAUGUCCAAGACUUGGAGCAAUAAAAUUAAGUUACAGUCUAAUAAACUAGCUACAUUUUGCAUUUUAUGGGAAAAUAAACAUUCAUUCUCUUCAGUAUGUUAUAGUUGUCAAUUCCUGUUUUUCCUAUACUAACCUAAAUUAACGGAGACAACUAACUGCCUUUUUCUACUCUGUCAUUCAUUACUUAAAGAUAUAUAAAGUUGGAACCGCAUGUUUGUUGAAUAAGUAAAUAUUUAACAAAAUGACUUUCCUUUUAACAGAAAGGGAACCACUGUAAAGGAACAGUACCACACAGUCUUAGAAAUUCAGAAGUGUUCUUAUUUUUUUUGUUAUGUGACACUGAAGUUAGUUGUUGGAGCCAUUAUGUUCCCGGAUGAAUGAUAAUUCGUAUAGCAGGACAAUUCAACAUAAAUAUGUGCAAUAAAACAGGUCGAUUAAAUCUGCAAGUUAAUUCUGUGCAAGAAUGAGAAGGCUGCCUUAGUCUUAUUCACUGUUCCCUAGGGAGUUAAAGCCCCAGGGCAGUGUGGCUCUGCCUGGACUAAAGGUUAAACAUGCACUUGAUUUCUGAGCUGGGACCCAGAUCCUCGUAGGUCUGUGAUUCACUGCAUGCUUUCAGCUGGGAAGUGUUUUCAUUAGGAAACAUUUUCUUAUCCACAUGAUUUUCGGGCAAUGUAAGAGGCAUGCUGGGAAGCAGGUCUCUAAUGGCCGUAGGGGGAAGAAAAAAAAAAAGAAAAAAAAAAAGAAAAAAAGCAGUUUCCAAACGAUCUGUAAAACUUUGUAAUCUGCCUCUGGGCUUUCUAUGGGAAAAAAAAAAAAAAAAAAAAAAAAAAAAAAGUUAUUUAUUUGUCAAAGUCAGUAUAAAGACACACAGUUUGGCUUCUGUAAAAGCUGUGAGUUGGAUAUUACUUUUGCCAAAUAGAAAUCCAUAAGAAUUAAAAUAUGUUAAUGAUUUCCCACAGGGCCAGAGAGCCAGCCACCCAGGCAUCAAAACCAAGUGUCAGCCAAUGCAGAUGGGAGCUAAUACUCAUUUCUCUCAUUUUCUCAUCGAUUCAUCUACCAUUUGACCACAUUUGAUACACAAGUCAACGUCAUGACAGUAAGCACAGAAGAGACUUCACUGAGAACAUUACCUGCUGUAUCCUGAGCGAAAAGGCCUCAGCCUGCCCCAUAUCUAGCAUUUAAUUAAACUCCCAGUCACAGCCUAUAUCAGACCAUUUCAGAUCUAUCAACAGAGUCUGAGAACUCCCAACUGGUGACUAUGGAAAAUAUUUUCAUUGCUGCGGCUAAUCUACAAAGGCAAAUAUUUUCAUGUUUACACUGUGAGAAACAAAAUAUCCUUAUCUCCCAAUAGAAAACAUUUGGUCUUUGUUGGAUACAAGUGCCAUUCAGUUCCAAAACUGUUUUAAAUCCUUGCUUGUGGCUUAUCUAAUUCAGUGAUGCCUGUUAUAGGAAUGGGAGCAUUGCCUGCAGUACUGCUCCAUAAGCACUUCAGCCAGCUGAGGAUGUUCUCCUCCUGAAGUCUCUGUUAAUUAUGAGAGAAACUAUCCCCAUUUCACAGACAUGAAUCUGAUGUGCAGGAGUACUGAGAGCCUUGCCAGAGGCUAUACACUGAGACUCAUGGCAGAAGUAGGUGACCACCUUACCACCUCAAAGAAGAAAAACAGAACAAUGUUUUUCCUUGUCCUCUGGUUUGAGUAAGAGCCUAAUUAUUUGUUCACUGCUCCAUUCUGUUCUUUGGAAAACAUUGUUCCAUCCUGUUUUAGAUUUUCCACAUACACACACAUUCACAAUUUGCAAAUUUGUGUUGCUGAUCCAGGCUCUGCCUGUACCACCCACCUGUAGCUCUGCAGAU